rnacentral:tRNA from 1 species
AACUGGUAGACGCGGUAGACUCAAAAUCUACUAUACUUGGUAUGUGGGAGUUCGAGUCUCCCCGAGGGCACCA